rnacentral:rRNA from 1 species
CCUACGGGAGGCAGCAGUGAGGAAUAUUGGUCAAUGGGCGCGAGCCUGAACCAGCCAAGUAGCGUGAAGGAUGACUGCCCUACGGGUUGUAAACUUCUUUUAUAAAGGAAUAAAGUGAGGCACGUGUGCCUUUUUGUAUGUACUUUAUGAAUAAGGAUCGGCUAACUCCGUGCCAGCAGCCGCGGUAAUACGGAGGAUCCGAGCGUUAUCCGGAUUUAUUGGGUUUAAAGGGAGAGUAGAUGGGUUGUUAAGUCAGUUGUGAAAGUUUGCGGCUCAACCGUAAAAUUGCAAUUGAUAAUGGGAGCCUUGAGUGAAGGUGAGGGAGGCGGAAUU